rnacentral:rRNA from 1 species
GGAAUAUUGGUCAAUGGAGGCAACUCUGAACCAGCCAUGCCGCGUGCAGGAAGACGGCCCUCUGGGUUGUAAACUGCUUUUAUUCGGGAAUAAACCUACUUACGUGUAAGUAGCUGAAUGUACCGAAGGAAUAAGGAUCGGCUAACUCCGUGCCAGCAGCCGCGGUAAUACGGAGGAUCCAAGCGUUAUCCGGAUUUAUUGGGUUUAAAGGGUGCGUAGGCGGCCUAUUAAGUCAGGGGUGAAAGACGGUAGCUCAACUAUCGCAGUGCCUUUGAUACUGAUGGGCUUGAAUGGACUAGAGGUAGGCGGAAUGUGACAAGUAGCGGUGAAAUGCAUAGAUAUGUCACAGAACACCGAUUGCGAAGGCAGCUUACUAUGGUCUUAUUGACGCUGAGGCACGAAAGCGUGGGGAUCAAACAGGAUUAGAUACCCCUG